rnacentral:snRNA from 1 species
AGAGAAUCGCUUGAACCCAGGAGGUGGAGGUUGUAGUGAGUCAGGAUCAGCCACUGCACUCCUGCCUGGGCAACAGAG